rnacentral:lncRNA from 1 species
GUGUUUCAGUGGUGUUGGGAUUCCGAGGAAGUUGAGAUUAUGUGGUUAGUGGGGAGUGGGUGUUAUCUGAUUUGUUACUAUUUUAUUUUUAUUUUUAUUUUUUUAAAAUUUUUCCUCUCUGUCUUUGAUGUUUCCUCUUUUCUCCCCUCUACUUCAUUUUUCCUCCCUCGAUUGUUCGUGGCUUUCCUCUGAUCUCUAUUGGAUUUUUCUCAUUAACUCAUCGC